rnacentral:lncRNA from 1 species
CUCUCUGAUCUGACUAACCUCUUUCAUUCUUUGCCCUAUGUUAUAUGGCUUAGACCAAAGCCUGAGACAUUUAACCAAUUUAUAAAUAUUAAAUGCAGAAGGCAUACUUUAUCAGUUCCUGGAAACAUCAAAGAAGCUGGAAGGGGAAUGGAAAUUGGAUGGCACUUUGUGGAGGUCACUUUGCUGACAGUCAAGUAUUCAAAGACAGAAACAGGGGUUGGAAAAAUUUAAUAGAAAUCACAAGCCUUUAAAAAUAACACUGGCAAUAAUUAAAAACCUUUCCCUUAAAAGCUUCCUAUUGUUAAUUGGUUUACUUUCAUUUAGAUAUAAAUUAAUUUCCAUAAAUUAAUUUUUACCAUCAGAAUAGCUAAAAAAUAUGGAAAGCCUAGAAAUUGACAGAGCAGAGUCAAUAUAUUGAGCAAAGUAAUGUGAUGGUCCAUAAUCUCUAUCAUGAUUAAUAUCUAAUCCUAAUCAUCAUUAUUUUUGGAGGGCCAUUUUUCAUCAUGAUGGCUGCAUUUUAUUUUGAAAUUAUUUAAGGGAAUUAAAUAUUUUGUUAAGUGAAAAUUAAUGUGUCUUUAUUCAUGACUGAGUGAGCCAUUACAAGUGUUUUUCAAAUUCAGUUCUUUUAAAAUAAAUGCCAUGAAUGGUCAUUUAAGUUAGUCACCACACCUAUUUGUCCCAUGACAUAAUGACUACAACUGCCCUAAUGAGUCCAAUUGAAUGGCUAUUGUGCUUGUGGUUAUCUCCUAAGAUACCCGGUCUUUAAAGUAUUAUACAAAAUAUCAGGGAUGAAGGCUCAGAUCAGUUUCAUCUAUAUGCUAUGCCUGCCUGACCUGGAGAACUUGGUGUUAAAGGAAAUGUGUUUAUCAAAUGUGUCAUGUUAUCCUUGGAGGGCAACUGAGGAUCAGAGCACAGCUGCCUUGAAUUGUUCCAUCGAGUUAUUCCACUGCAGUUAAGUGGAACAUCAAAAAACGUCAAGAAGCCUAAAACAUGGAAACUUGUUUAAUUUUCUCAAACAAUGGCACUAACCAAAGCAAACGAAACUUUGACAAGAAAGAAGCAAUUGUUUAGCCUUGUCAUGUCCUCACAGUUAAUAAUACAAAGGGUAUAUUCACAGUGCAAAGAUACUUUCCCUUUCUCUCAAAAUAGAAGACAACGUAUUGUAAGAUAUUUUACAGAUGUCCUUCCUCAUAGAACUCUGUAAACUUUACUAGCUCAAGAACAAAAUCAAAGUUUCAAUUCACGGGACUGAUUCAUCUUGCAUUUUAGGUAUUCUAAUGGUAUAUUUGUACUGUGUGUUGCAACCUAUAGAAUAAAUGUACUUCUUCUUCAUGUUUCCUGUUUGCUGAUGACAGAUACCAGUGGCUCACCUUUCGGCCUAUGAAACAAUGAUUUCUUUUCAAAUUUGAAAUCUGAAUAACUAUGCACCACAAUAGCUGCCUUUGACCCAGAAUUUUUCUCUAGUCAUUAUCUUCCAAAGAAUUUUUCUGCAGUUCGUUAUCCUCUAAGUUCUGAAUCUUAUCCAAAACCUGUUACAACUUAAACUUCUGGCUCCCACUCUUAAGGACUUGCUGUUUCAUCAGAUCUUCCUUCUCCAUUUUUCCAUCAGUGAAACCUAAAAUAAAUUCAAAAUCAUAAGAAUGUAAGAGCAAACCUAAUGUUCUGUAUCAUGGCAUAAUUUUACUUAGAGAAACCAAAAUAUCUGAAGGUGAGUUGUUCAAAUCUUAAGUGACAACAGUUAACUUACUAUGAGCAAUAGAAAAAAAAUUUAAAUAUUAGAACAAGUGCUACAAAAGAAUGGACAUUUUGGGACAGAAACUUUCUGUAUUGGUAAAUCUGCCACCCUUCUGAAUAAUAAAUGAUUUGAUUUUACUUCCACAAGAAACUUCAGAUCCAUGUCUAAACACAGCAAAUAAGCCAGUCAUGGUGCCUCAUGCCUAUAAUUCCAGCACUUUAGGAGGCUGAGGCAGGUGGACCACUUGAGCUUGGGAGUUCGAGACCACCCUGGGCAACAUAGUGAAACCUCAUCUCUACCAAAAAUACAAAAAAUUAGCCAGGUGUGGUGGCAUGUAUCUGUAGUCCCAGCUAGUCAAGAGCCUGAGGUAGGAGGAUCACUUGAGCCCGGGGGGUCCAGGCUGCAGUGAGCCGAGAGAUCACGCCACUGCACUCCAGCCUGGGUGAGAGAAUGAGAUCUUGUCUCAAAAACAAAAGCAGAAGUAAUAACAACAACAACAACAACAAAAAGGAAUAAAUGCACCUGAUCAAAAAAAGGAGAAAAAAAGAAAAAGUUAUUAAUUUAAAAUGCAUUUAUUUACCCUACUUUGUUAUAGUUUGCUCUAUGUUAAUGUAUAUAUAUUUUAAGUCAUUCUUUAGCAUUCACCAUCUUUACGAACAUACUUUUGAAAAUGGGUAACAAACUCUCUUAAAACUGCUAAUGGAAGAUGCCAAAGAAGAAGAGGACUCCUUGCCUCCAAACGUGGGAGAAGGCCUUAGAGUCUCCUUCGGUAACUGAGAAGCAGAAUACUCCCAUUGUAUGAGGUUGCUUGGCAGUUGCAGCUGUCACUCAGACUUCUUAUCCACACCAAGCACUUCCAAAUACAGGAAAGAAAUUAGACUUUGUUUCUCUACCCUAUUUGGAUAAUAAUUAAAUGUUUCAACUAGAAACCUCUUCACUCUGGCAUCUGAAGCAUCAUCUUAGUGUCAACUUCUCUUGAAAAGGGCACACACACAUACACAUGGCCCAGUCCCAAGGCGCAACUUGUGCCAGCAGCCCGCGCCAGCAGCCUGCACCAGCAAAAUAGCAGUAGCAAGAAGAGAGCCAGCAGAAGACACCUACCCUGGCCGGAAGACGCGUACCCCUGAAGAUUGAGGAAGAGGCCAUCCGGGUACAACGUAGCAGUUACGUCAGACUAAGACACUUCCUGUUUAUAGGAGACUAUAAAACCUUUGCCCUGUCCUCACUAGGGGCUGACACCAUUUUAGUCCUCAGACCGCCUGCACCCAGGCGCUCAUUAAAACAGCAUGUUGCUUCCACCGCCUCAUGUUGUCUGUUGGCGCGCUCUCGGGGUUCGAACCAGUACAAGAACCUUAGAUAUAUGAUACUGCACCUAAUAAAAAUAGUCUAAAAUAACAACAGCCAAUAUAGGCACAAACCUGAAAGUGUCUGCAUAGAAGUAACACAUCCAUGUACUUGUUGAGUCCACUGAGGAAGGAAAAAGUUAGUUUCACUUGACUAAGUUCCCACAUGGAUUAAGCAGCAGACCCAAGACCAAGACCAGAACGCAAUCCACUCUUUGAUGAGAACAUACUUGGAUAUGACCUAUGCUAUUUUGAAUGAAAUUUAGCAAGGAAGAACUGUCCAUCAAUCAUUUUAACCAAGUUCACCUUUUGUUGCCAUUUAAGUUUAAUUUUGUCCCAGGAAAUUCAUAGUGAGUGAUUGUGAUUACAUUUUCCUCAUUUUCAUGCCUCUGACAUUCUUGUUGAAGAUGCUAAUCUUGUAUAAAGCUGUCUUUGGAGUUGAUGAUGCUGACACUUCUCACUCCUAUGGGAAAUGGAGAGAUGUGGUGCAUAAAAUAGAAUAAAAUGUAUUAGAGCAAAAUAAAACUGCUAAUAAGAGUAAUCACUGUAAUAGAUUUUAAAAUCAUUUUAAAUCUAGUUUUAAUUACCUAAAUCCAUCUCAGAAUUACUACUGAUGUGAUGAGAAAUUCAUAAAUUCUGUGCAAAUUGAAAACAGAAAUUACAUUGUUUAUUAAAAUACUACUUUACUACCCCAUCUCUAUAUUAUCAUAUAUGUAAAUUUACGCAUGUAUACAUAAAUUAUACAUUUAUACAUAUAAACUUGAAUUUAUCAGAACUACUCAAUUUCAUCUCCUGGUUAAUAAUUUAGUAUGCAUUAACCUUCAGUAUUCACAUCAAGAUACAUUCUCCUCUCAAACAUGAUAAAACGAAAGCGUUCUAAGAUUAUACAGAGUGUGUUUUCUAAACAAAAUUCGCUUCUCGUUUUAGAAAGUUGAUGUCAUCAAGGCAUCACCAUCAAAUUUAACUUCUCUACUUUUCUUUAGAUAAAAAUAGAGAAGAAAGCUUUCUAAGUGUGUCAGUCUAAGAAAAACUUUAAUUAGAAUCUCUGGCUGUUGUUUAGGUUGCAUUCUACAACUUAUUUCAGCUUGACAGUAGGCAGGAGACUUCCCCUUCAAUUUUAGGUCGAAGCCAGAAUAAAAAGUGCUUUAGAAAAAGAAAAA